GAUGAACGCUAGCGGCAGGCCUAAUACAUGCAAGUCGAGCGCACCUUCGGGUGAGCGGCGGACGGGUGAGUAACGCGUGGGAACGUGCCCUUUGGUACGGGAUAACUGAGGGAAACUUCAGCUAAUACCGUAUGUGCCCUACGGGGGAAAGAUUUAUCGCCAUUGGAGCGGCCCGCGUUGGAUUAGCUAGUUGGUGAGGUAAAGGCUCACCAAGGCUACGAUCCAUAGCUGGUCUGAGAGGAUGAUCAGCCACACUGGGACUGAGACACGGCCCAGACUCCUACGGGAGGCAGCAGUAGGGAAUCUUGCGCAAUGGGCGAAAGCCUGACGCAGCCAUGCCGCGUGAAUGAUGAAGGUCUUAGGAUUGUAAAAUUCUUUCACCGGGGAAGAUAAUGACGGUACCCGGAGAAGAAGCCCCGGCUAACUUCGUGCCAGCCGCCGCCGUAAGAC
rnacentral:rRNA from 1 species